AACCGGAUUAGAUACCCUGGUAGUCCACGCCCUAAACGAUGUCUACUAGUUGUCGGGUCUUAAUUGACUUGGUAACGCAGCUAACGCGUGAAGUAGACCGCCUGGGGAGUACGGUCGCAAGAUUAAAACUCAAAGGAAUUGACGGGGACCCGCACAAGCGGUGGAUGAUGUGGAUUAAUUCGAUGCAACGCGAAAAACCUUACCUACCCUUGACAUGUACGGAAGACCGAAGAGAUUUGGUUGUGCUCGAAAGAGAGCCGUAACACAGGUGCUGCAUGGCUGUCGUCAGCUCGUGUCGUGAGAUGUUGGGUUAAGUCCCGCAACGAGCGCAACCCUUGUCAUUAGUUGCUACAUUCAGUUGAGCACUCUAAUGAGACUGCCGGUGACAAACCGGAGGAAGGUGGGGAUGACGUCAAGUCCUCAUGGCCCUUAUGGGUAGGGCUUCACACGUCAUACAAUGGUACAUACAGAGGGCCGCCAACCCGCGAGGGGGAGCUAAUCCCAGAAAGUGUAUCGUAGUCCGGAUCGCAGUCUGCAACUCGACUGCGUGAAGUUGGAAUCGCUAGUAAUCGCGGAUCAGCAUGUCGCGGUGAAUACGUUCCCGGGUCUUGUACACACCGCCCGUCACACCAUGGGAGCGGGUUUUACCAGAAGUAGGUAGCUUAACCGUAAGGGGGGCGCUUACCACGGUAGGAUUCGUGACUGGGGUGAAGUCGUAACAAGGUAACCGUA
rnacentral:rRNA from 1 species